CGUCGAGCGGUAACCAGGGAGCUUGCUCCUGGGUGACGAGCGGCGGACGGGUGAGUAAUGUCUGGGAAACUGCCUGAUGGAGGGGGAUAACUACUGGAAACGGUAGCUAAUACCGCAUAAUGUCGCAAGACCAAAGAGGGGGACCUUCGGGCCUCUUGCCAUCACAUGUGCCCAGAUGGGAUUAGCUAGUAGGUGGGGUAAUGGGUCACCUAGGCGACAAUCCCUAGCUGGUCUGAGAGGAUGACCAGCCACACUGGAACUGAGACACGGUCCAGACUCCUACGGGAGGCAGCAGUGGGGAAUAUUGCACAAUGGGCGCAAGCCUGAUGCACCCAUGCCGCGUGUAUGAAAAAAGCCUUCGGGUUGUAAAGUACUUUCACCGAGGAGGAAGGCAUUAAGGUUAAUAACCUUGGUGAUUGACGUUACUCGCAGAAAAAACACCGGCUAACUCCGUGCCAGCAGCCGCGGUAAUACGGAGGGUGCAAGCGUUAAUCGGAAUUACUGGGCGUAAAGCGCACGCAGGCGGUCUGUCAAGUCUGAUGUGAAAUCCCCGGGCUCAACCUGGGAACUGCAUUCUAAACUGGCAGGCUAUAGUCUUGUAUAGGGGGGUAGAAUUCCAGGUGUAUCGGCCACUUUACGCAUCUCUAGACCUCCUUAUGGCCACCGCUUCCGCCGGGGGACCUGUUUCUGACUGCGAGUCCACGCUUUCGCACCCCUCGUUUGUCCUAAUCUAUGGGACCAUCAGGUGCGGCAUUUGCUACAGCUGAACCUCCGACAAGGGAACUCCUCACCGAAGGCCUCGAUUGCGCAAUUCAGCUGGCGGACCCCUCAUGCCGGCGUUCCAAUUUUGAGUUUACUUAACUGCCCCCGGGCGUGUUCGCCACCUCGUACACCAAAUUAAGCUACGUUGCGCUUCUUGGAAUGGAUGAGAACUGUAGGUCCCUUGAAUCGUCUCUACGAAACCACGGAAGCCCUUGGCACUCUGUCCACGACGUACCGACAGCAGUCGAGCACAACACUUUACAACCCAAUUCAGGGCGUUGCUCGCGUUGGGAAUAGGAAACAACGGUCGCUAAGCCAGCCCUUGAGUUUCCUCUGACGGUCACUAUUUGACCUCCUUCCACCCCUACUGCAGUUCAGUAGUACCGGGAAUGCUCAUCCCGAUGUGUGCACGAUGUUACCGCGUAUGUUUCUCUUCGCUGGAGCGCUCUCGUUCGCCUGGAGUAUUUCACGCAGCAUCAGGCCUAACCUCAGACGUUGAGCUGAGGUACUUCAGCCUUAGCGAUCAUUAGCAUCUAGUCUUACGAUGCCACUUAUGCAAGGGCCCGGAACAUGUGUGGCGGGCAGUGUGGUACCCUAACCGAUGUAUCUAUAUUCCACAGGAAUGGCAAGCCGUU
rnacentral:rRNA from 1 species